AACGAACGCUGGCGGCAGGCCUAGCACAUGCAAGUCGAGCGCUCACCUUCGGGUGGGAGCGGCGCACGGGUGAGUAACACGUGGGAACCUACCUUGAAGUACGGAAUAACUGAGGGAAACUUCAGCUAAUACCGUAUACGCCCUACGGGGGAAAGAUUUAUCGCUUCAAGACGGGCCCGCGUUGGAUUAGCUAGUUGGUGAGGUAAUGGCUCACCAAGGCAACGAUCCAUAGCUGAUUUGAGAGAAUGAUCAGCCACACUGGGACUGAGACACGGCCCAGACUCCUACGGGAGGCAGCAGUAGGGAAUAUUGGACAAUGGGCGCAAGCCUGAUCCAGCCAUGCCGCGUGAGUGAUGAAGGCCUUCGGGUUGUAAAGCUCUUUCAGAUGGGACGAUGAUGACGGUACCAUCAGAAGAAGCCCCGGCUAACUUCGUGCCAGCCGCCGCCGUAACAC
rnacentral:rRNA from 1 species